rnacentral:lncRNA from 10 species
GGGACAGCUUAGGCUUUUGAUUUGGGUGAGUGGCUGCUCUGACUGCGUGGAGAUCUGCCUGGGCAUCAAGCAGAGAAGGCCUCAAUCCACCACUAUCUCUGCACAGGAAGGGUUAGGAAACUCAGGCUGCUGGUCCGGGCAAGCAGUUGCUCCAAAUGCAUGGAGUUCUGCCUGGAUGUGGAGUGAAGAGGCCCCCCUGCAUCAGGAUCUCUACACAGGAAGGAUGGCCGUAGCUCAGGCUGCUGAACCAGAACAGAAAUUGUCUUGUCAUUCUGUGUCCCUUGGGACUCCUAUUAUUACUGGCAGAUGGCAAACAGAAUGCAAAAGAAGUCCAUAUCUAGAGAAAUCCUGGUGGAAUUUUUCAAACUUCUAUGACAAAAAAAAGUCCGAUGAGUUUCUAGAUUUUAAAAAGUACUAAAUUACUUUUUAAAAAAUCAACUUUACAAACAACAUGAAAACAGAAUGUUUAAGAGGAAAAAUUAUGUGUAGCUUAUAAUAAUAAUUAUAUCCCAGUUUUCCUUACUUUACUGGAGUACAGAGAAAUGACUUUUUAAAAAGGUAUACAAGUUUUAUUAAAUAAAAGUCAAUGUGAGCUUCUUAAUAUUACCAUUCUGACUUAACAACAAUUGUAUUUAUAAGAAAUAUGUA